ensembl:lncRNA
UUUAUUUCCAAACCAAGUGACUCACAGCUACUGAUGCUAUCUUUUAAAUAUCUUUUUACAUUGCAUUAAGAAGUGUUUUUUGAUGUAGGACAAACUGCAGAACACAUAUGUUUAAGAGGUAUAUGACAAAAUGCUGCCAUGCUCCUUGAGUUGUGUUGCAAAGAAGAGUUGUGCUGUAUAUCCUGACGUCUUUUGCCAUCGUUACUGCAGUUUUUCCCUUCUGAAAUAUAGCUUUACGGAGCGUGGGAUCUACUAGAACUAGUAAAACAUAUGAAAACAUGGACUCCUUAACCCUGGAAUAUGGUUCAGUGCAAGCCAGUUCAAGCUCAUACUCUCCUUAUUCAGAAAUAAUAGUGCUAAACCUACUGCAGGAAGAUUAAGAUGAGAAAAGUAAAACAGAAAAUCCAGUUAAUCAAUCCUUUGUAAACACAUUCUGUUGAAUCAUGCUCUCUGUUGAAGGUAGUACUAUUAUCAGAACUGUAAUGAUUUGGAGCUAUAAAUGAUGGAAGAUUUAUGUAUAGAUUUCAGAGGUGGCAUUCAGGGAAACUUCCUUGAUGUCCUGCGCAGAUGUCACUGCUGACUCAUAGGUUUAGAGUUUCAUAGAAAUUAAGCGGAAGUGAAGACUCAGACACCUCGGAUUCUUGGUCAUCCUUGUUACAGUUAAAGAACGGGCUUGGAUUUGUUCCUCCAUAUCUGCCUCUUGCCUCCUGCAUUUUAGAAGGUUUGAAAACCACUGCCAGCAUUGAAAGUUUGUAUAGCUCCUCUUCUCUUUCUCAUCUUCGCUUCAAACAGAAGAACAAAAAGCUGAGAGCAAUAAACUAAAGAGCUGAAAAAAUCUAGUGUAAAGAAGUAAUUCAAAGAACAAGGAAGAAAGAAAUACGAGAGGAGGAAGGGAACAAAGAGAGGACAAAGGAAGCAGAACAAGGGAAAGAAGUGUCCUAUCAUUCUAUAGGUAGUAUUGUGUGUCUACAUGUAAACCAGGUUGUUGGUGACUAACACAAUAGACUGUUCCUAGCAUGCUGAAAUUGUCACUUGACCACUUCAUUGUCCCUUAUGUUUUGCUUUCUCUGGUCCUAUUUUUUUCUUUCUUCCUUUUUCUUUCUGUCUAUAAUUCCUAUUUCCUGUCUACCAUCGUAAUAUUUAAAAGCCUCUGUCUACCCUUUGCUACCAAUUGCUAUUGUUUUUGCCUCACUACAGCUAAGCUCAUUGAGUUGCUUUGGAAAGAGCUCAAACUCCUAUCCAAACCUCUGGAGGAGGCACAACAAAGCAGAAAGAAACUGCAGCCAGCGGUGAGAGAAGCCUGGUCCAAAGGAAAUGUACAAAUCCUGUAUCAUUAUCAUUUGUGAUCGACACUAACACCAUGAGUAGUGUGCCAGUUACAACAUUAAAAAAGAAAAAAAAAGUACUGGCUGGAGGUUAGCUCUGUUAAUUUUCAGAACUGAAAAUGAGAUGAACAGCCUAAAGUGCGGAAAAAGGGAAGCUGCAGUGUCUCAGACACCUGCUUUUCUUAAUCCAGUAUCAUUUGGAAACAAAAAAUGCUACUUUCUCAGUCCAAUACUUAUCAACAAUUAGGAGCAGGUGACUAAUUUGAUAGCUGAAACUAAAUCUGGAGGCAAUCAUUCUUACACAGGCUGUCACAAAUUUCUCUUUUCUUCAGAUGCUGAUUUUCUAUGUCAUGCUGGUGUCCCAUGGCCCUUGUGAAGUUUGGCUCCCUGUUGUACUAUUCUUCCAGAAGCAGAGAAGUAGAAACAAUCUCUGUGCCAAAGAGCUUGCAAGUCUUGAUCAAUGCAGAAGGGAAACAUUCUGUCUCUAUACUUGCACAUCAUCAUUGCCUCAACAGGAUUCUGAUUCUUGAUAACUGUAAGAUAUGAUGCAGGCCAUAUUCAUUGUAAGGUGUAAUAUGGAGGGGGUCCAGUGAAGUGCCAUGACUAUAUGGAUCUGGAGCAUUGGUCUUAGAAGCUGGACUUCUAACAGUAUAGAUGUACCAUACAGAAAGUUGCACGUGGACUUCAAAACUCACAUUGUUCUAAAUGUCAUGAGAAUUUCACGAGAAAUGAAAAAAAACCAGCAAUGAGCGGAGUCAUUGCAAAGGUAUUUAGACACUGUGCACAAGGCAAGAGGCCAUCUUACUACCUUUAGGAGAGUUUGAAGAUUUGGUUGUGUCUUGGCCAGUGCCAAGAAAAAAAGUGCAAUAAAAGGAUUGUGUUUAAAUCUGCAGAAACUGAGAUCCAGCCCAAAGCAAGACAGCGUGAAAAUAAGAUUUCAGGGAGACUCCUUUAAAGGGAACCCCAUUUUACCUAGGAGCUGUGGAUCAAGCGGCUCACUGAGUGAGCUCGCCUGCCUGUUAGUCUUCACUGAAUGAAAACUGCUCACCUCACUGUGAAAGAUGCAGCAUAAAGGCUUGAUGUAGACUUGGUUCCCUCAGUGUGACCUGUAUUACCUGAGCAGAAGGAUGUCUCAUUUCUGGAUUCUGAUCAGGCUUAGGACUCUGAGGAUAAAGGGAAGAAAAAGGAAACAAGAACAUAUUGGAGAACUAAGUAUGUAGCUGCCUGGUAGAGUGGAUAAAGGGAAGAAAAAGGAAAAAAGAACGUAUUGGGGAAUUGUGCGGCCUGAAUCUCUGAUUGAUAAGCUGAGUUCCAGGUACUUGUCCGGAAGAGAAGAAGAACUACGUUCCCCAGAAGACUGUUCGAGUACUGUUAUCAUUCCUGCUCAGGGAAACAGAUAUAAGGCCUGUAGGUCACCUGACCUGGGUCUUCUUCUCGUCUUGUGCUCGCUUUCGGAUCUUCUCGCUGCUGCUCCCGACUGCACGCAAGGCUUCAGUAUUAGUGAGCAGGAAGAAUGAAAAGCAAGAUGACACGUAAUCCAUCUAGGGAGGAAUUCUUUUUUACAUUUUGUUCAAUGAAGACAAAGUUGGUUUCUGCUAAUGAGGGAUGUGUGGCAUAGACGAUCUCAAAUUAUUAAUGAUAGCUCAGAUAUUUGCAGUCAUCCAGUUUGGAGAGUUCACUGAAUUGAAGAGAGGAAACUUCUGUCUCCAGUGAUAUCACCUCUUGCCUUAUCAAGUUUAUAUUUUCUUCAUAAAUUCUCAGUUCAUCAAGUAAAACAAAAGUCCUCAGGUGAUCCAUGAAUAACAACCAGCCCUCCCGGACUACCCUUCUCUCCAGCAGUCACCCAUGAGAUGUUACCAAGCAGAACUCUGAAGUGUCAAAUAUGAUUUUCCCUGCCUGGAGAGGCAUGUAUUCUGUAGCUACUCCUGACAUACCUGUAAACUGCUCUUCCCUAUGAGGUGUGAAAUGGGAGCAGUAAUUACUUCCUGUGCUGCAAAGGCAUUGAGAAGUUUCAAGGCGUGCAGUUCUGGGUGACGGGAAACAAAACUAAACGAAGUAGAAAUGUGAUCAGAAAAACAAUGAGAGCAGAACUUGAUCUGCUUGCAGGAAAAAGAAAUAGAGGAAUCAGAAUAAUCCCUGAAAUAGAAUCUGCUCAAUGAAGAUUUGAAUUUUAUUGCAUUUCUACAAUUCCUUCUAGCUAGCCAAGAUGCUUGUGAGUUUUGCAUAAGGCUUCUGAAGUCGGAACAAGACAAAGUUAUAAUGAAGUCAAAAGCAAAGUAUUAUGGUCAGAUAUGUCAGCAAAGGACAAAGUCAAAAUGAGGAGUUUGGAGCUUCCUUUCAAAGCAGAGGCUCAGAAGCUUUCAGCCUUUCCUCAAUGGUGCAAUUUCCACAAUCAAGAUUUCAAUUGAGAUCACAUAAUAGCAACCUUAUGGAGAAGAUUGGCGUCUGAAAUUCAGCUGCAGCAAGUUCAUUUCCUGCAAGUAAUAGUAUCACCUGUUCAUCAUUCUUUAG